rnacentral:rRNA from 1 species
UGCAAGUCGUACGCACUGGCCCAACUGAUUGAUGGUGCUUGCACCUGAUUGACGAUGGAUCACCAGUGAGUGGCGGACGGGUGAGUAACACGUAGGUAACCUGCCCCGGAGCGGGGGGAUAACAUUUGGAAACAGAUGCUAAUACCGCAUAACAACAAAAGCCACAUGGCUUUUGUUUGAAAGAUGGCUUUGGCUAUCACUCUGGGAUGGGCUUACGGUGCAUUAGCUGGUUGGUGAGGUAACGGCCCACCAAGGCGAUGAUGCAUAGCUGGUCUGAGAGGAUGAACAGCCACAUUGGGACUGAGACACGGCCCAGACUCCUACGGGAGGCAGCAGUGGGGAAUCUUCCGCAAUGGACGAAAGUCUGACAGAGCAACGCCGCGUGAACGAUGACGGCCUUCGGGUUGUAAAGUUCUGUUAUACGGGACGAAUGGCGUAGCGGUCAAUACCCGUUACGAGUGACGGUACCGUAAGAGAAAGCCACGGCUAACUACGUG